GAAUCAGUGCUGAAAAUCGUCUCUCAUCCGCCAAAACAUCUUCGGCGUUGUAAGGUUAAGCCUCACGGUUCAUUAGUACCGGUUAGCUCAACGCAUCGCUGCGCUUACACACCCGGCCUAUCAACGUCGUCGUCUUCAACGUUCCUUCAGGAGACCUAAAGUCUCAGGGAGAACUCAUCUCGGGGCAAGUUUCGUGCUUAGAUGCUUUCAGCACUUAUCUCUUCCGCAUUUAGCUACCGGGCAGUGCCAUUGGCAUGACAACCCGAACACCAGUGAUGCGUCCACUCCGGUCCUCUCGUACUAGGAGCAGCCCCCCUCAGUUCUCCAGCGCCCACGGCAGAUAGGGACCGAACUGUCUCACGACGUUCUAAACCCAGCUCGCGUACCACUUUAAAUGGCGAACAGCCAUACCCUUGGGACCUACUUCAGCCCCAGGAUGUGAUGAGCCGACAUCGAGGUGCCAAACACCGCCGUCGAUAUGAACUCUUGGGCGGUAUCAGCCUGUUAUCCCCGGAGUACCUUUUAUCCGUUGAGCGAUGGCCCUUCCAUUCAGAACCACCGGAUCACUAUGACCUGCUUUCGCACCUGCUCGCGCCGUCACGCUCGCAGUCAAGCUGGCUUAUGCCAUUGCACUAACCUCCUGAUGUCCGACCAGGAUUAGCCAACCUUCGUGCUCCUCCGUUACUCUUUAGGAGGAGACCGCCCCAGUCAAACUACCCACCAGACACUGUCCGCAACCCGGGUAACG
rnacentral:rRNA from 1 species